rnacentral:rRNA from 1 species
UUCGGGGGAGAGCGGCGGACCGGGUGAGUAACGCGUGGGUAACCUACCCUGUACACACGGAUAAACAUACCGAAAGGUAUACUAAUACGUGAUGACAUAUCGGACAGGCAUCUGUCAGAUAUCAAAGGUCAGCCGGUACAGGAUGGACCCGCGUCUGAUUAGCUAGUUGGUGAGAUAAAAGCUCACCAAGGCGACGAUCAGUAGCCGACCUGAGAGGGUGAUCGGCCACAUUGGAACUGAGACACGGUCCAAACUCCUACGGGAGGCAGCAGUGGGGAAUAUUGCACAAUGGGCGAAAGCCUGAUGCAGCAACGCCGCGUGAGUGAUGAAGGUUUUCGGAUCGUAAAACUCUGUCCUCAAGGAAGAUAAUGACGGUACUUGAGGAGGAAGCCCCGGCUAACUACGUGCCAGCAGCCGCGGUAAUACGUAGGGGGCUAGCGUUAUCCGGAUUUACUGGGCGUAAAGGGUGCGUAGGCGGUCUUUCAAGUCAGAAGUUAAAUUCUACGGCUCAACCGUAGCCAGCUUUUGAAACUGGAAGACUUGAGUGCAGGAGAGGAGAGUAGAAUUCCUAGUGUAGCGGUGAAAUGCGUAGAUAUUAGGAGGAAUACCAGUAGCGAAGGCGGCUCUCUGGACUGUAACUGACGCUGAGGCACGAAAGCGUGGGGAGCGAACAGGAUUAGAUACCCUGGUAGUCCACGCCGUAAACGUUGAGUACUAGGUGUCGGGGGUUACCCCCCUCGGUGCCGCAGCUAACGCA